UCUUAUUGUAGCUAGAAAUCCUCCACAUCCCUUUCUUAGAAGCUUCCUAGCUAUAGAGUGGCGGCUAACAUUAAUAGGAGAUAUGACCCACUACUUGCAAAGCUAAAUUCUAGCUCGUUCGGAAUAUGAAAGUUCACUAUUUUCUUAAAACAUAUAGCAUGAUAUAUUGCUAGCCAUUAUAUAUCAAGAAUUAUAUUAAAAUUCCUCUUCUCCAACACUAGCAGGUCAACCACCCUCUCUCUAUCUGCAACACUAAGGGUGCAAGAUUUGCAAACAGAAUUCACCACAAUAAUAUCACCAUUCAGAGUAGAGACUCCUAGA
rnacentral:lncRNA from 1 species